AUUGAACGCUGGCGGCAGGCCUAACACAUGCAAGUCGAGCGAGCGGCGGACGGGUGAGUAAUGUAUGGGGACUGCCCGAUAGAGGGGGAUAACUACUGGAAACGGUAGCUAAUACCGCAUACUAUCGGAUAACCCAUAUGGGAUUAGCUAGUAGGUGAGGUAAUGGCUCACCUAGGCGACGAGCCCUAGCUGGUCUGAGAGGAUGAUCAGCCACACCGGGAGUGAGACACGGCCCCGACUCCGACGGAGGCAGCAGUGGGGAAUAGUGCACAGUGGGCGAAAGCAUGAUGCAGCCGUGCCGCGUGUAUUAAGAAGGCCCUAGGGUUGUAAAGUACUUUCAGUCGGGAGGCGUUACCGACAGAAGAAGCACCGGCUAACUACGUGCCAGCAGCCGCGGUAAUUC
rnacentral:rRNA from 1 species